rnacentral:rRNA from 1 species
CUUUUCUUGUUAGUUUUUGAAGUAUGGCCUGCCCACUGACUUAGGUUAAAGGGCCGCGGUAUUUUGACCGUGCAAAGGUAGCAUAAUCAUUAGUUCUUUAAUUGUGAUCUGGUAUGAAUGGCUUGACGAGAUAUGGGCUGUCUUUGGUAGUAUUGUUUGUUGAAUUUAGUUUUUGAGUUAAAAUUCUUAGAUGUUUUUAUGGGACGAGAAGACCCUAUAGAGUUUGACAUUUUGUUUAUUAAUACGGGUUAGUUUGUUGUAAUUUAUUUAGUAGGUUGAAGUGUUUUGUUGGGGUGAUGGGAGGAAUUUUUUUAACUCCUCUUUGUAUUGUUAUAUUUAUGUAUAUGUGUUUGAUCCAUUUAUUUUGAUUAUAAGAUUAAAUUACC